rnacentral:lncRNA from 1 species
UUUCCACAUGAGCAAUGCUACCUUAAUUAACACCUAUAUUAUAGGUGCAAAUUUUACACUCUACACCGUCCACAGCCCAGAUUUAAUCACUUAUCUAACAAUUUUUUUUAAUACUAAAAAUCUAAAAUAAGUUUCUAAAUUUUAGAAUUAUGGGAUAUAGUAAAUACACCUCCACAAAACCAUUAUAAAGCUCCCUCAUCCUUUAUUUCCCAUUUUUGAUCAUCACACAUCAUGAUUAAAAAAAAAAAAAAACCAACUCUAAGAACUGAUAUGUACACACACUACUAACAUACCCAUCUAACAACCAGUUCAAAUGAAAAAUUAUAUUAAAAACAUAAAAAAAUAAUAUAAAUUUUUUAGAGUGAGGCUACUAUGCUUCCGGAAGUACAGAGCCUUCCGUGCUUUCAGGUCGUUUUUCAUGUUGCGACUUUCGAAUUAUCGAUCGGCUCUGUUAAACUUGAUCUAGAGUAUUUGAAGUACCUAGAAAAUAAAUUAUGCGAUUUUUCGAUAUUAUUUGCCUAGUGAACGAAGGGGCUCAAAAUCAACGACUGAAAAUAAAAAUCUUACAAAAUGUGAUAAUAUGACAUUAAAAUUUUAGAUCAAAAAUAUUGAUUUUGUUUUAUAUAGUAUAAAAAAUUUUCUAUCAAAAUUUCACGUGAUUUGGAUAUUUCUACACUGUUAAAUUUGCAAACGGCUCAUUACGAUCAUUAAAAUUAUUGAUUUUGAGCCCCUUCGAUCGCUAGGCAAAUGAUAUCGAAAAAUCAUAAAAUUUAUUUUCUAGGUACUUCAAAUACUUUAGAUCAAGUUUAACAGAGCCGAUCGACGAUUUGAAAGUCGCAACAUCGAAAACGAUCUGAAAGCACGGAAGACUUCGUGCUUCUAAAAGCACAGUAGCCUUACUCAAUUUUUUAUAUUUUUAAUUGUUGGUGUGAUUAUGAUAUG